CUUUUUCUUUCUUUUCUUUCUUUCCCUUCCUUCCUUCCUCCCUUCCCUUCUCCUUCCUUCCUUCCCUCCCUCCCUUCCUCCCUCUCUCUUUCUUUUCUUUAGAAGUUUGAGGCCGCAGUGAGUCAAGAUUGUGCUACUGCACUCCAGCCUGGGCGACAGAGACCCUGUUUCUUUUUAAGAAUCUUCUAAUGCCUAGUAUUAUAUUAGCAUUUUAGGAAGACCCUCGCUGCACGUCUGUGGUUUCAUCCGCUUCCCUUCCCUCCAGCCGCGCGCGUCGCGCGUUCUCUAGCACAGCGCCAGCUUCAGGUGUCUGGGUUUGCUGGCUUUGGGGCUUGGCUAACGGCCUGCCUAUCUUGCAAGGAACGGGUUGUAACGCUGGUGAAGGGACCAGCAAAAGGCUUUGUAUUUCCUGACAGUUCACGGAAGAAAACAUGUUGCCUCUGAAGAUGAUGUGAAUCUUACUUACAUUUUCUACUG
rnacentral:lncRNA from 10 species